rnacentral:rRNA from 1 species
UACGUAGGGCCCAAGCGUUGUUCGGAUUUACUGGGCGUAAAGGGCGCGUAGGCGGCGCGGUAAGUCACUUGUGAAAUCUCUGAGCUUAACUCAGAACGGCCAAGUGAUACUGCAGUGCUAGAGUGUGGAAGGGGCAAUCGGAAUUCUUGGUGUAGCGGUGAAAUGCGUAGAUAUCAAGAGGAACACCUGAGGUGAAGACGGGUUGCUGGGCCAACACUGACGCUGAGGCGCGAAAGCCAGGGGAGCAAACGGG